UAGCGGUACGAAUGUACACUGUUCAGUGGUGAUGCACAGUAAAAAAAAAGACAAGAUACAGCCGAUGUGUGUAUGCCACUGUUGUAGGUGGGAAGUUGGGAAGGUAGAAAAUGUAUAGAACCGUUUAAUUUACACCUGUACAAUGCUAUGAUAAGUUUUAGUUUUUAUUUUAUUUCUUUUGUUUCGGUGUACAACUUUUCUUCCUUGGCUUCA